UCCUCCCUCUGGCGGCGUGCUUAACACAUGCAAGUCGAACGGAAAGGCCCUGCUUUUGUGGGGUGCUCGAGUGGCGAACGGGUGAGUAACACGUGAGUAACCUGCCCUUGACUUUGGGAUAACUUCAGGAAACUGGGGCUAAUACCGGAUAGGAGCUCCUGCUGCAUGGUGGGGGUUGGAAAGUUUCGGCGGUUGGGGAUGGACUCGCGGCUUAUCAGCUUGUUGGUGGGGUAGUGGCUUACCAAGGCUUUGACGGGUAGCCGGCCUGAGAGGGUGACCGGCCACAUUGGGACUGAGAUACGGACCAGACUCCUACGGGAGGCAGCAGUGGGGAAUAUUGCACAAUGGGCGGAAGCCUGAUGCAGCAACGCCGCGUGCGGGAUGACGGCCUUCGGGUUGUAAACCGCUUUCGCCUGUGACGAAGCGUGAGUGACGGUAAUGGGUAAAGAAGCACCGGCUAACUACGUG
rnacentral:rRNA from 1 species